rnacentral:ncRNA from 1 species
GGGAGCGCAGUGAGUUGAGAGAUUCAUGCUGCGUUCUGCGAGGGGUUGUCGGGGAAGUUCCGAUGAUCUACUUACC